rnacentral:rRNA from 1 species
UACGUAGGGGCUAGCGUUGUCCGGAAUCAUUGGGCGUAAAGAGCGUGUAGGCGGUCCGGUAAGUCCGCUGUGAAAGUCGGGGGCUCAACCCUCGAAUGCCGGUGGAUACUGUCGGGCUAGAGUGCGGAAGAGGCGAGUGGAAUCCUGGUGUAGCGGUGAAAUGCGCAGAUAUCAGGAGGAACACCUAUUGCGAAGGCAGCUCGCUGGGACGUAACUGACGCUGAGACGCGAAAGCGUGGGGAGCAAACAGG